UACGAAAGGGGCUAGCGUUGUUCGGAAUUACUGGGCGUAAAGCGCACGUAGGCGGCCUUGUAAGAUGGGGGUGAAAUCCCUGGGCUCAACCCAGGAACUGCCUUCAUGACUGCAAAGCUUGAGGAUGUGAGAGGUUGGCGGAAUUCCGAGUGUAGAGGUGAAAUUCGUAGAUAUUCGGAAGAACACCAGUGGCGAAGGCGGCCAACUGGCACAUUUCUGACGCUGAGGUGCGAAAGCGUGGGGAGCAAACAGG
rnacentral:rRNA from 1 species